rnacentral:rRNA from 1 species
AACGAACGCUGGCGGCAUGCCUAACACAUGCAAGUCGAACGAAGCCUUCGGGCUUAGUGGCGCACGGGUGCGUAACGCGUGGGAAUCUGCCCUUUGGUUCGGAAUAACAGUUGGAAACGACUGCUAAUACCGGAUGAUGACGAAAGUCCAAAGAUUUAUCGCCAGAGGAUGAGCCCGCGUAGGAUUAGCUAGUUGGUGUGGUAAAGGCGCACCAAGGCGACGAUCCUUAGCUGGUCUGAGAGGAUGAUCAGCCACACUGGGACUGAGACACGGCCCAGACUCCUACGGGAGGCGGCAGUGGGGAAUAUUGGACAAUGGGCGAAAGCCUGAUCCAGCAAUGCCGCGUGAGUGAUGAAGGCCCUAGGGUUGUAAAGCUCUUUUACCCGGGAUGAUAACGACAGUACCGGGAGAAUAAGCCCCGGCUAACUCCGUGCCAGCCGCCGCAGUAA